AUUGAACGCUGGCGGCAGGCCUAACACAUGCAAGUCGAACGAGUGGCGGACGGGGGAGUAAUGUCUGGGAAACUGCCCGAUGGAGGGGGAUAACUACUGGAAACGGUAGCUAAUACCGCGUACCAUCGGCUGUGCCCCGCUGGGAUUAGCUUGUAGGUGAGGUAACGGCUCACCUAGGCGACGAUCCCUAGCUGGUCUGAGAGGAUGACCAGCCACAGUGGAAAUGAGACACGGUCCAGACUCCUAAGGGAGGGAGCAGUGGGGAAUAUUGCAAAAUGGGCGAAAGCCUGAUGCAGCAAUGCCGCGUGUAUGAAGAAGGCCUUCGGGUUGUAAAGUACUUUCAGCGGGGAGGCGUUACCCGCAGAAGAAGCACCGGCUAACUCCGUGCCAGCAGCCGCGGUAAUUC
rnacentral:rRNA from 1 species